rnacentral:rRNA from 1 species
AUUGAACGCUGGCGGCAUGCCUUACACAUGCAAGUCGAACGGUAACGCGGGGCAACCUGGCGACGAGUGGCGAACGGGUGAGUAAUAUAUCGGAACGUGCCCAGUUGUGGGGGAUAGCCCGGCGAAAGCCGGAUUAAUACCGCAUACGACCUGAGGGUGAAAGCGGGGGAUCUUCGGACCUCGGCGCAAUUGGAUCGGCCGAUAUCAGAUUAGGUAGUUGGUGGGGUAAAGGCUCACCAAGCCAACGAUCUGUAGCUGGUCUGAGAGGACGACCAGCCACACUGGGACUGAGACACGGCCCAGACUCCUACGGGAGGCAGCAGUGGGGAAUUUUGGGACAAUGGGCGCAAGCCUGAUCCAGCCAUGCCGCGUGCAGGAAGAAGGCCUUCGGGUUGUAAACUGCUUUUGUCAGAGAAGAAAUCUUCUGGGUUAAUAACUCGGGAGGAUGACGGUAUCUGAGAAUAAGCACCGGCUAACUACGUGCCAGCAGCCGCGGUAAACCGU